rnacentral:lncRNA from 1 species
UGAGGGAAGGUGGCACUCUGGGCCCAGACGCUGCCGUCGUGGCCGAUGAUGGCGGCGGCGGAGAGGUGGUUGCCUUCGAUUUCGCACAUCAGAUGGUCGUCGACGUACGUUUGCCACGACAUCUUGUUGCUGUUUUUUCUGAGGUUUUGUGUGUCUGGUGGGAUUUGCUGCUGAAUCGGAGGUUUUGGGGUGUCUGCGGAGGAAAUUCAGUUCUCGUUUCAAGCCUCAGUCUUCUAUGCUC